rnacentral:rRNA from 1 species
GACGAACGCUGGCGGCGUGCCUAAUACAUGCAAGUCGAACGAACUCUGGUAUUGAUUGGUGCUUGCAUCAUGAUUUACAUUUGAGUGAGUGGCGAACUGGUGAGUAACACGUGGGAAACCUGCCCAGAAGCGGGGGAUAACACCUGGAAACAGAUGCUAAUACCGCAUAACAACUUGGACCGCAUGGUCCGAGCUUGAAAGAUGGCUUCGGCUAUCACUUUUGGAUGGUCCCGCGGCGUAUUAGCUAGAUGGUGGGGUAACGGCUCACCAUGGCAAUGAUACGUAGCCGACCUGAGAGGGUAAUCGGCCACAUUGGGACUGAGACACGGCCCAAACUCCUACGGGAGGCAGCAGUAGGGAAUCUUCCACAAUGGACGAAAGUCUGAUGGAGCAACGCCGCGUGAGUGAAGAAGGGUUUCGGCUCGUAAAACUCUGUUGUUAAAGAAGAACAUAUCUGAGAGUAACUGUUCAGGUAUUGACGGUAUUUAACCAGAAAGCCACGGCUAACUACGUGCCAGCAGCCGCGGUAAUACGUAGGUGGCAAGCGUUGUCCGGAUUUAUUGGGCGUAAAGCGAGCGCAGGCGGUUUUUUAAGUCUGAUGUGAAAGCCUUCGGCUCAACCGAAGAAGUGCAUCGGAAACUGGGAAACUUGAGUGCAGAAGAGGACAGUGGAACUCCAUGUGUAGCGGUGAAAUGCGUAGAUAUAUGGAAGAACACCAGUGGCGAAGGCGGCUGUCUGGUCUGUAACUGACGCUGAGGCUCGAAAGUAUGGGUAGCAAACUGGAUUAGAUACCCUGGUAGUCCAUACCGUAAACGAUGAAUGCUAAGUGUUGGAGGGUUUCCGCCCUUCAGUGCUGCAGCUAACGCAUUAAGCAUUCCGCCUGGGGAGUACGGCCGCAAGGCUGAAACUCAAAGGAAUUGACGGGGGCCCGCACAAGCGGUGGAGCAUGUGGUUUAAUUCGAAGCUACGCGAAGAACCUUACCAGGUCUUGACAUACUAUGCAAAUCUAAGAGAUUAGACGUUCCCUUCGGGGACAUGGAUACAGGUGGUGCAUGGUUGUCGUCAGCUCGUGUCGUGAGAUGUUGGGUUAAGUCCCGCAACGAGCGCAACCCUUAUUAUCAGUUGCCAGCAUUAAGUUGGGCACUCUGGUGAGACUGCCGGUGACAAACCGGAGGAAGGUGGGGAUGACGUCAAAUCAUCAUGCCCCUUAUGACCUGGGCUACACACGUGCUACAAUGGAUGGUACAACGAGUUGCGAACUCGCGAGAGUAAGCUAAUCUCUUAAAGCCAUUCUCAGUUCGGAUUGUAGGCUGCAACUCGCCUACAUGAAGUCGGAAUCGCUAGUAAUCGCGGAUCAGCAUGCCGCGGUGAAUACGUUCCCGGGCCUUGUACACACCGCCCGUCACACCAUGAGAGUUUGUAACACCCAAAGUCGGUGGGGUAACCUUUUAGGAACCAGCCGCCUAAGGUGGGACAGAUGAUUAGGGUG